rnacentral:rRNA from 1 species
GACGAACCGUGCGAACGUUGUUCGGAUUCACUGGGCUUAAAGGGCGCGUAGGCGGGCAUUCAAGUCAGGGGUGAAAUCUUUCGGCUUAACCGGAAAAGUGCCUUUGAUACUGAAUGUCUCGAGGGAGGUAGGGGCGUGUGGAACUUCCGGUGGAGCGGUGAAAUGCGUAGAUAUCGGAAGGAACGCCGGUGGCGAAAGCGACGCGCUGGACCUCUUCUGACGCUGAGGCGCGAAAGCCAGGGGAGCAAACGGG